UCACCUCUUAGUUCUAAUUUAGGACAAUGUAAGAUUUUUAGAUUUGAGGUUAAUCCCUCUCCGCUGUUAUAGUUGUUUGGAAACUGACGAGAGAUUUCUGGAAUUGAAGACUGAUAAUUUGUGUAGAUUUUGAUAAAUUACAAGUGCAUAUCUGGG